rnacentral:rRNA from 1 species
GAGGUAUCAGAAGUGCGAAUGCUGACAUGAGUAACGACAAAGGGGGUGAAAAACCUCCUCGCCGGAAGACCAAGGGUUCCUGUCCAACGUUAAUCGGGGCAGGGUGAGUCGACCCCUAAGGUGAGGCCGAAAGGCGUAAUCGAUGGGAAACGGGUUAAUAUUCCCGUACUUCUGACUAUUGCGAUGGGGGGACGGAGAAGGCUAGGUGGGCCAGGCGACGGUUGUCCUGGUUCAAGUGCGUAGGCUUGAGAGUUAGGUAAAUCCGGCUCUCUCUAAGGCUGAGACACGACGUCGAGCUACUACGGUAGUGAAGUCAUUGAUGCCAUGCUUCCAGGAAAAGCCUCUAAGCUUCAGAUAGUCAGGAAUCGUACCCCAAACCGACACAGGUGGUCGGGUAGAGAAUACCAAGGCGCUUGAGAGAACUCGGGUGAAGGAACUAGGCAAAAUGGUACCGUAACUUCGGGAGAAGGUACGCUCUUGAUGGUGAAGUCCCUCGCGGAUGGAGCUGACGAGAGUCGCAGAUACCAGGUGGCUGCAACUGUUUAUUAAAAACACAGCACUGUGCAAAAUCGCAAGAUGACGUAUACGGUGUGACGCCUGCCCGGUGCCGGAAGGUUAAUUGAUGGGGUUAGCGCAAGCGAAGCUCUUGAUCGAAGCCCCGGUAAACGGCGGCCGUAACUAUAACGGUCCUAAGGUAGCGAAAUUCCUUGUCGGGUAAGUUCCGACCUGCACGAAUGGCGUAAUGAUGGCCACGCUGUCUCCACCCGAGACUCAGUGAAAUUGAAAUCGCUGUGAAGAUGCAGUGUACCCGCGGCUAGACGGAAAGACCCCGUGAACCUUUACUACAGCUUGGCACUGAACAUUGAACCUACAUGUGUAGGAUAGGUGGGAGGCUAUGAAGACGUGACGCCAGUUGCGUUGGAGCCGUCCUUGAAAUACCACCCUUGUAUGUUUGAUGUUCUAACUUAGACCCAUUAUCUGGGUUGAGGACAGUGCCUGGUGGGUAGUUUGACUGGGGCGGUCUCCUCCCAAAGAGUAACGGAGGAGCACGAAGGUGGGCUAAUCACGGUUGGACAUCGUGAGGUUAGUGCAAUGGCAUAAGCCCGCUUAACUGCGAGAAUGACGGUUCGAGCAGGUGCGAAAGCAGGUCAUAGUGAUCCGGUGGUUCUGUAUGGAAGGGCCAUCGCUCAACGGAUAAAAGGUACUCCGGGGAUAACAGGCUGAUACCGCCCAAGAGUUCAUAUCGACGGCGGUGUUUGGCACCUCGAUGUCGGCUCAUCACAUCCUGGGGCUGAAGUCGGUCCCAAGGGUAUGGCUGUUCGCCAUUUAAAGUGGUACGCGAGCUGGGUUUAGAACGUCGUGAGACAGUUCGGUCCCUAUCUGCCGUGGGCGUUGGAAGAUUGAAGGGGGCUGCUCCUAGUACGAGAGGACCGGAGUGGACGAACCUCUGGUGUUCGGGUUGUGUCGCCAGACGCAUUGCCCGGUAGCUAAGUUCGGAAUUGAUAAGCGCUGAAAGCAUCUAAGCGCGAAGCGAGCCCUGAGAUGAGUCUUCCCUGACAGUUUAACUGUCCUAAAGGGUUGUUCGAGACUAGAACGUUGAUAGGCAGGGUGUGUAAGCGUUGUGAGGCGUUGAGCUAACCUGUACUAAUUGCCCGUGAGGCUUAACCAU